GCAAGUCUUUAGCACCAAGCAUUCAUGGCCAUGCGUAUAUUAAAAAAGCCAUUUUGUGUAUGCUACUUGGAGGUAAUGAGAAAGUUCUCGACAAUGGGACACGCAUUAGAGGAGACAUCAAUAUCUUAUUAAUAGGCUAUGGACAACCUGAAGAAGAACCCAAGACAGCAGUGCAGACACAAACAACAAACCCAUGUUGCAUGAUGUGGAGACAGAUCUGCGGAGUGACUUUGUAUUUAAGGAAGUGGUUAUCAUAAAUUGAAACCUUUGACCAG